GAGAACACCUUUAUUUAACCAGGUAGGCUAGUUUAGAACACCUUUAUUUAACCAGGUAGGCUAGUUGAGAACACCUUUAUUUAACCAGGUAGGCCAGUUGAGAACACCUUUAUUUAACCAGGUAGGCUAGUUGAGAACACCUUUAUUUAACCAGGUAGGCUAGUUGAGAACACCUUUAUUAACCAGGUAGGCUAGUUGAGAACACCUGUAUUUAACCAGGUAGGCUAGUUGAGAACACCUUUAUUUAGCCAGG
ensembl:lncRNA